CUCCAGCAGACCCUCUCUCCCAGACCCUCCCACCUGGACAGCAUCAACAUGGAUGCUGUCCAGGAGGUGGGAGGGCCUGGGAGAGAGGGUCUGCUGGAG